GCUUAACACAUGCAAGUCGAGGGGCAUCAGGAAGAAAGCUUGCUUUCUUUGCUGGCGACCGGCGCACGGGUGAGUAACACGUAUCCAACCUGCCCUUUACUCGGGGAUAGCCUUUCGAAAGAAAGAUUAAUACCCGAUGGCAUAAUGAUUCCGCAUGGUUUCAUUAUUAAAGGAUUCCGGUAAAGGAUGGGGAUGCGUUCCAUUAGGUUGUUGGUGAGGUAACGGCUCACCAAGCCUUCGAUGGAUAGGGGUUCUGAGAGGAAGGUCCCCCACAUUGGAACUGAGACACGGUCCAAACUCCUACGGGAGGCAGCAGUGAGGAAUAUUGGUCAAUGGGCGCUAGCCUGAACCAGCCAAGUAGCGUGAAGGAUGAAGGCUCUAUGGGUCGUAAACUUCUUUUAUAUAAGAAUAAAGUGCAGUAUGUAUACUGUUUUGUAUGUAUUAUAUGAAUAAGGAUCGGCUAACUCCGUGCCAGCAGCCGCGGUAAUACGGAGGAUCCGAGCGUUAUCCGGAUUUAUUGGGUUUAAAGGGAGCGUAGGUGGACUGGUAAGUCAGUUGUGAAAGUUUGCGGCUCAACCGUAAAAUUGCAGUUGAUACUGUCAGUCUUGAGUACAGUAGAGGUGGGCGGAAUUCGUGGUGUAGCGGUGAAAUGCUUAGAUAUCACGAAGAACUCCGAUUGCGAAGGCAGCUCACUGGACUGCAACUGACACUGAUGCUCGAAAGUGUGGGUAUCAAACAGGAUUAGAUACCCUGGUAGUCCACACAGUAAACGAUGAAUACUCGCUGUUUGCGAUAUACAGUAAGCGGCCAAGCGAAAGCAUUAAGUAUUCCACCUGGGGAGUACGCCGGCAACGGUGAAACUCAAAGGAAUUGACGGGGGCCCGCACAAGCGGAGGAACAUGUGGUUUAAUUCGAUGAUACGCGAGGAACCUUACCCGGGCUUAAAUUGCAGUGGAAUGAUGUGGAAACAUGUCAGUGAGCAAUCACCGCUGUGAAGGUGCUGCAUGGUUGUCGUCAGCUCGUGCCGUGAGGUGUCGGCUUAAGUGCCAUAACGAGCGCAACCCUUAUCUUUAGUUACUAACAGGUUAUGCUGAGGACUCUAGAGAGACUGCCGUCGUAAGAUGUGAGGAAGGUGGGGAUGACGUCAAAUCAGCACGGCCCUUACGUCCGGGGCUACACACGUGUUACAAUGGGGGGUACAGAAGGCAGCUAGCGGGUGACCGUAUGCUAAUCCCAAAAGCCUCUCUCAGUUCGGAUCGAAGUCUGCAACCCGACUUCGUGAAGCUGGAUUCGCUAGUAAUCGCGCAUCAGCCACGGAGCGGUGAAUACGUUCCCGGGCCUUGUACACACCGCCCGUCAAGCCAUGGGAGCCGGGGGUACCUGAAGUACGUAACAGCAAGGAUCGUCCUAGGGUAAAACUGGUGACUGGGGCUAA
rnacentral:rRNA from 1 species